CUUCUGUUGUCAGUAGCAGUGGAAGGGCCUGUAGAUGACCUCCCUGUCCCUAUAAUAGUUUCAAAUCUAUCAGCAGCAAUUCCUGCUUAGGUUCCCAUUUCUGUGUUUCAGGGAAUGUUAGUUCCUGCCUUCCCUGCCCCCACUUUCCUCUGAAAUGUGUGUGCUUUCCCACAGAAUAUUCUGCCUUAUCUGCCCUCACUAGAAUAGGAAUCAGUGUCCAUGUGAAAUGCUCCCAUCUGGCCAGGCCCCUCUACACUCUUCCUUACCACCAUUAUCAAGAGGUUCUCCCUGUAGGCUUUGGCCUAAAGAGGGGAUAGUUGACAUAUACUAUAGGCUGGGGCCUCUGUGGUCGGCUUUCUGAAUGCUCUGUAUUCCUGAGGGCCAUUGUAUGAGUGCAUGUGUGCUGUGUGCUGGGGUUGUGUCUAAUGUCAAUGUGUUUAACAGCCAGUGGAGUGGAUGUUGGCCAAAAGAGAGCAGGUUCUGGAGUCAUCCUGCUGUGGGUGGCCAGGGUGCAGGGGGACAUCAAGGGCUUGAGGCAGCAUCUGUUCCAACUGUUACAGACCUAGUUCAAAACUUUUAUUUUUUUGUCUUGUUAAUCCUCACCUGAGGCUAUGUUUUCCAUUGACUUUUAGAAAGAGUGGAAGGGACGGGGAGAGGCAGAGAGGGAAACAUCAAUGUGAGAGACUGGUUACCUCCCACAGUUACCAACCAGGCUGGGGAUUGCACUUAUAACCAAGGUAUGUACCCUUGACCAGAAUCAAACCUGCAACCCUUCAGUCCAAGGGCCAACGCUUUAAUCACUGAGAAAACCAGCCAGAGCUAGUUCAGUAUUUUAACAAACAGUUCAGUUGUACUGUGUACACUACCUGAACAUCAGCUGUGGUUGUGUGUUGUGUGUGUGUGUUGGGGGGGGGGGGGACUUAGGGUGCUGUGUCAGCCAAGGAGAAAGCCAUGAAGGGUUGUGGGACCCUCACAAAGGCUUCUGAAGCUGGGGCCAUGCACCCGGACAGUGGCAGAGGGCAUAGGUCUCACCUAGGUUCUUGGCCUUAUAAAGACAGGAGCACUGAGCAGAGAGAGUGCUGAGGCCAGGGGCUGGCCUCUCAGAACCCUGACCUCAGAAAGGGAUCUCUCGGGGGACACGUGACGGGGUUGAGGAGCACUGGAGCAAUGGCAAGGACAUCAGUUUCAGAGUAUGGAGGAUGGGACCAGAUCCACAACUCCCUCCCCAGAGUCCCCCAAAAUACUGGCCCACUUGGCUGGGUUGGGCUGGAUCUUUUAUUUCAUAUCACAUCCUCUCCACUCCCACCACUGUUCUCCAGCCUGAAGCUUCAUGGCUUACAAGGUUCCUGUGGGAUCAGCAUUUGCCAUCCUUCACGAUCUGGAUGUCCUGUUUGGUUUUCCUAGGAUCACAGGAGACAGGGAUGAGGCUACCUCCUCAGGUACUGUAAUGCACCCUUCAGGGACCUUGGCGAAGUCCAUUCAGACACCUGCUGAGCCCUACCACCCACUUAGUGUACGGUGGAGGGCAGACCCCAGGGGUGCCUGGGCAUCUCUCUAUAGCUUUUCCUUCUUGCACACAUUCCUCUGGGAGAUUUCAGCUUCCUAGGGUCUCAACCACCACAGCAUACUGAUGGCUGCAAAUCUAUCUCCAGCCCAGACUUUUGUCCUAAACUCUAGCCAUAUCUCCACUGGGAUGUCCCAGAGGUUCAACUGUCCAGAGACAUCACCCCACAAACCUGCUACAUCCCUCUGUUUCUUACCUUGGCACAUGGCACCACCAACCGCCCAAACCCACAAGUUAGAAACCAGCAUGUUUUUGCCUCCUCCAUCAUCCCUCACAUCCAAUCUCACAGCUGUCACUUCUCCCCUGAUAUAAUCCUGAGUGUUUAGUCAUGACCUAAGUUAGACUGUCCUGCUGCUCUCUUGCACAUCUGUCUAGUGCAGUAGUUCUCAACUUUCUGACCCUUUAAAUACAGUUCCUCAUGUUGUGACCCAACCAUAAAAUUAUUUUCAUUGCUACUUCAUAACUGUAAUGUUGCUACUGUUAUGAAUCAUAAUGUAAAUAUAUGAUAUGCAGGAUGGUCUUAGGCGAUCCCUGUGAAAGGGUCGUUCGACCGCCAAAGGGGUUGCGACCCACAGGUUGAGAACCGCUGGUCUAGUGCAUUCUAGCUUCCAAAGACUUUCUUCUCUUCCAUGAUCUCACUUAGCUCUGGCCAGCUCAAGUAUCUUAUUAGUGAAGACAUGAGACUAAAUGAGUGUUCAGAUGUACCAAGGUCAUAUUUUGGUCCUGCCUCUCUAGACUCAUUUCUUGCCUCUCUCCUGUUCACCUUUAAAUUUUCUAUGCCAGCAUAUCCAAUUUCUUAUAUUUCCUCAAAUAUAAACUUUCCUUUCUAGAUCUUUCCAAAACUCAUUUCUCUAUUUAGAAUUACCUUCCCUUGUUUCUUCAUUUUCCUAGCUAAUUUCUACUUACACCUCAGAGCUGGGAAGUCUGGCCUACCCUUGCCCUGUACCCAUAGAACCCUGUGUACUCCCAUCCGAACCUUUAGCAUUCUAUUCUGUAGUUAGCUAACAGUCAACGUGGCUUCCCCCUUAGACUGACUGACUGCCCCAGAAGGCCAGUAAUGCUGUCUAGCUUAUGCCCUGUUGUUUCCUCAGUGUCUAGUACAUAAUAGGUGCUCAAUAAAUAAUUGUUGACUGGA